rnacentral:rRNA from 1 species
CCUACGGGUGGCAGCAGUGGGGAAUAUUGCACAAUGGGGGCAACCCUGAUGCAGCGACGCCGCGUGAGUGAAGAAGUAAUUCGUUAUGUAAAGCUCUAUCAGCAGGGAAGAAAAUUACGUUACCUGCACAUGAAGCACCGGCUAACUCCGUGCCAGCAGCCGCGGUAAUACGGAGGGUGCGAGCGUUCAUCGGAAUUACUGGGCGUAAAGCGCUCGUAGGCGGUAUGUCAAGUCGAGUGUGAAAGCCCCGCGCUCAACGUGGGAACUGCCUUGGAAACUGGCAAACUGGAGUGUGUGAGAGGAUAGUGGAAUUCCAGGUGUAGGAGUGAAAUGCGUAGAUAUCUGGAGGAACAUCAGUGGCGAAGGCGACUAUCUGGCACAUAACUGACGCUGAGGAGCGAAAGCGUGGGUAGCAAACAGGAUUAGAUACCCCAGUAGUC